rnacentral:rRNA from 1 species
UACGAAGGGGGCUAGCGUUGCUCGGAAUUACUGGGCGUAAAAGCGCACGUAGGCGGAUUGUUAAGUCGGGGGUGAAAUCCUGGAGCUCAACUCCAGAACUGCCUUCGAUACUGGCGAUCUCGAGUUCGGGAGAGGUGAGUGGAACUGCGAGUGUAGAGGUGAAAUUCGUAGAUAUUCGCAAGAACACCAGUGGCGAAGGCGGCUCACUGGCCCGAUACUGACGCUGAGGUGCGAAAGCGUGGGGAGCAAACAGG